UACGAGGGGUGCAAGCGUUGCUCGGAAUUAUUGGGCGUAAAGGGUAGGUAGGUGGUCUCAUUUGUCCGGGGUGAAAGCCUUGAGCUUAACUCAAGAAGUGCCUCGGAAACGGUGAGACUAGAGUCUUGGAGAGGGUCGUGGAAUUCCCGGUGUAGCGGUGAAAUGCGUAGAGAUCGGGGAGGAACACCAGAGGCGAAAGGCGGCGACCUGGACAAGUACUGACACUCAACUACGAAAGCGUGGGGAGCAAACAGG
rnacentral:rRNA from 1 species